GAUGAAGAACGCAGCGAAAUGCGAUAAGUAAUGUGAAUUGCAGAAUUCAGUGAAUCAUCGAAUCUUUGAACGCACAUUGCGCCCGUCAGUAUUCUGGCGGGCAUGCCUGUUCGAGCGUCAUUACGCCCCUCAAGUCCCCUGUGGACUUGGUGUUGGGGAUCGGCGAGGCUGGUUUUCCAGCACAGCCGUCCCUUAAAUUAAUUGGCGGUCUCGCCGUGGCCCUCCUCUGCGCAGUAGUAAAACACUCGCAACAGGAGCCCGGCGCGGUCCACUGCCGUAAAACCCCCCAACUUUUUAUAGUUGACCUCGAAUCAGGUAGGACUACCCGCUGAACUUAUGCAUAUCAAUAAGCGGAGGA
rnacentral:misc_RNA from 1 species